UGACGGUAUCUAACCAGCAAGUCACGGCUAACUACGUGCCAGCAGCCGCGGUAAUACGUAGGUGGCAAGCGUUAUCCGGAUUUAUUGGGCGUAAAGGGAACGCAGGCGGUUUUUUAAGUCUGAUGUGAAAGCCUUCGGCUUAACCGGAGAAUAGCAUUGGAAACUGGAAGACUUGAGUGCAGAAGAGGAGAGUGGAACUCCAUGUGUAGCGGUGAAAUGCAUAGAUAUAUGGAAGAACACCAGUGGCGAAAGCGGCUCUCUGGUCUGUAACUGACGCUGAGGUUCGAAAGCGUGGGUAGCAAACAGGAUUAGAUACCCUG
rnacentral:rRNA from 1 species